rnacentral:lncRNA from 1 species
CUCCGUUUGCACAACAUACCAAAAAUAGAGGAAACAAGAUGCUUCACAAUAGGUGGAGUUGAUGGACUAAUAAUAAGAUAUGACUUAGAAAGAUUAACUUACUGAUAGAAGAAAUAACAAUAGAUAUUUAAACAAGCUUAAGAGAUAAAGCAUGAUAGACAACCCCCUUGAUGAUAAGAAGAUAGUCAUCAACAAAGAAAAGAUGAGACAUUUGAGGGCCAUGCAGCUGAGGUAUACAAGGACAAAGCAACUUAUCAUGUGUUACCUGUAAGGAACAUAAAAGAUUUUAGAACAAAAGAUAAAUAAUAACAGAGAUAUUGG